CUGCAAAGGACCUUCUAGGACCUCUCAAAUACUAACCGAGUAUUUUAUCACUCAGCUACAUCUCCAACUCCUCCAUUAUAAACUGUUUUAUGUUUUCUUUCAACAAAUGGUGAGCACACAGCCAUGCAAACGUGGCAGAGGAAGGUGAUUCCGGUCAGGUAUGGUGGCCCAUGACUCCAAUCCCAGCACUCUGGAGACAGAGGCAAGAGGAUCACUGUGAAUUCGAGGCCAGCCAAGGCUACCAAAUAAGAAUCUGUCUUUUUGGGCUGGAGAGCUGUUACGUUCUGAGUUCAAUUCCCAGCACCCACAUCGUGGCUCACAACCAUCCAUAAUGAGAUCUGGUGCCCUCUUCUGUCAUGCAGGGAGUGGUGCACGUCUGCGAUCCUAGCUACUCCACGAAGGCUGAAUCAGGAUGACGACAGGUUCAAAGCCAGACCAGCCAAGUUAGUAUGACGGGAUGUAGCCCAGCAUGCAUAAGGACCUAAAUUCAAUCUUCAAUGCUGAGACCACAACAAAACAAAUACCCAAGGAUUCCAUGAUAGCCUUAAUUCUUGGGUCAGGAGUCAGAACUUGGGAAACUUUUUUUGUUUUGUUUUGUAUUUGAUUUGGCAGGAAUGAUAGUGACUUAGUUGAGAGCUAAAAAGAAGACAUUUUUUCCCUUCCCUUCCUAAUUCUCGUAGAUAUAUAAAAGUGAAUGUCAAUGACACACGACUUUAAUCCAGGUGAAUCUCUGAGUUUGAGGCCAGCCUGGUCUACAGAGCUAGUUCCAGGACAGCCAGGGCUACACAGAGAAACCCUGUCUCAAAAAGAAGGAAAAAAACAAACAAACAAAACAAAAACAAAAAUGCUGAUUUCAUCUGUACUUACUCAAAAGAAGACAUUAUUCCCAUUGAACUGUGAUCCAGAGAGGUUCCUUCAGUGGGUGCUCCCAUUAUCACAGACCACAAAGCCACCCUUGUCUGACUAGAAGAGCCAGAUCCCUGCAGAGCCACUCUGUGGGGUUCAGAUGGGUGACAUAAAGAUAGGGCCACCAGAAAGAAUAACAGACAACAUUUGAUGGUGUAGUCUUGGAACAAAAUCAAGGCCAGCAUGACUUUCUGGGAAGAAUGUGUGGCCCUAGACCAGACUAGAGGACAGCAGUAGGGCUCUUAUAAUAAACCAUUAUUCAGCUGGCACAAGCUGGUCAGGUGAGCCAGCUAACAGCCUUUCUAUGUGGGGUCUGUGCUCACACUUCAUGGACUAUAAAUAUCUUGCCUUCCACCCCAGCUCACAGGCCAAGUUCAGACAUCCAUGCUUUAUCCUGGGGGCUGUGGGAAAGUACUGGGAAAUGUUAAGCAGGGCUGCAGCACGGUCAGAUUUGUAUUUUCAGGAAAUCACUCAGAGCCCAGGGUGGAGAAUAGAUUAGAAAGGAGCACAGCUGCAGGCUGGGGAAAGGAUUAUGAGUUUGCAGAAAUCUUCCUGGGAGAGAUGGUGGCAGCCCGAACGAGGGAGGCGGUGAGAACCAAAAGGAGUAGAUGGAUUCCAGAGACAUUUCAGAGAAAGAAUCAGUGGGACUGGGUGAUUGAUUACAUAUGUCACGGACGAUGUCAAAGGGAUGUGUCAAAGAUGACUUCUAGGUACCAGGCUCAGGAAACAGGAUGAAUGAGGGGUGCCACUUUUUGAGACAGGGAGCACAAUAGAAGGAGCAGGUGGUAGGAGGAUAAUCUGUUCUUUUCUGGACAAAUUGCUUCAAGGUGCCUGUGAGGCUUCUGUGAGGGUGA
rnacentral:lncRNA from 1 species